AGAGUUUGAUCUCUGGCUCAGGAUGAACGCUGGCGGCGUGCCUAACACAUGCAAGUCGAGCGAAGCACUUUACUUGAUUUCUUCGGAUUGAAGGUAUAGUGACUGAGCGGCGGACGGGUGAGUAACGCGUGGGUAACCUGCCUCAUACAGGGGGAUAACAGUUAGAAAUGACUGCUAAUACCGCAUAAGACCACAGCACCGCAUGGUGCGGGGGUAAAAACUCCGGUGGUAUGAGAUGGACCCGCGUCUGAUUAGCUAGUUGGUAAGGUAAGGGCUUACCAAGGCGACGAUCAGUAGCCGACCUGAGAGGGUGACCGGCCACAUUGGGACUGAGACACGGCCCAAACUCCUACGGGAGGCAGCAGUGGGGAAUAUUGCACAAUGGGGGAAACCCUGAUGCAGCGACGCCGCGUGAGUGAUGAAGUAUUUCGGUAUGUAAAGCUCUAUCAGCAGGGAAGAAAAUGACGGUACCUGACUAAGAAGCACCGGCUAAAUACGUGCCAGCAGCCGCGGUAAUACGUAUGGUGCAAGCGUUAUCCGGAUUUACUGGGUGUAAAGGGAGCGUAGACGGAGAGGCAAGUCUGAUGUGAAAACCCGGGGCUCAACCCCGGGACUGCAUUGGAAACUGUUUUUCUAGAGUGUCGGAGAGGCAAGUGGAAUUCCUAGUGUAGCGGUGAAAUGCGUAGAUAUUAGGAGGAACACCAGUGGCGAAGGCGGCUUGCUGGACGAUGACUGACGUUGAGGCUCGAAAGCGUGGGGAGCAAACAGGAUUAGAUACCCUGGUAGUCCACGCCGUAAACGAUGACUACUAGGUGUCGGGUGGCAAAGCCAUUCGGUGCCGCAGCAAACGCAAUAA
rnacentral:rRNA from 1 species